UGGAUCCAGACUUUGAUUAUGGCUCAGGACGAACGCUGGCGGCGUGCUUAACACAUGCAAGUCGAACGAGAAGAAAUGAGAAGCUUGCUUCUUAUUGAUUCGAGUGGCAAACGGGUGAGUAACGCGUAAGCAACCUGCCCUCUAGAUGGGGACAACAGCUGGAAACGGCUGCUAAUACCGAAUACGUUUUUUCUGUCGCAUGGCAGAGAGAAGAAAGGGAGGCUCUUCGGAGCUUUCGCUGGAGGAGGGGCUUGCGUCUGAUUAGCUAGUUGGGGGGGGUAACGGCCCACCAAGGCGACGAUCAGUAGCCGGUCUGAGAGGAUGAACGGCCACAUUGGGACUGAGACACGGCCCAGACUCCUACGGGAGGCAGCAGUGGGGAAUCUUCCGCAAUGGACGGAAGUCUGACGGAGCAACGCCGCGUGAACGAUGACGGACUUCGGGUUGUAAAGUUCUGUUAUACGGGACGAAUGGUACGACGGUCAAUACCCGUCGUAAGUGACGGUACCGUAAGAGAAAGCCACGGCUAACUACGUGCCAGCAGCCGCGGUAAUACGUAGGUGGCAAGCGUUGUCCGGAAUUAUUGGGCGUAAAGGGCGCGCAGGCGGCGUCGUAAGUCGGUCUUAAAAGUGCGGGGCUUAACCCCGUGAGGGGACCGAAACUGCGAUGCUAGAGUAUCGGAGAGGAAAGCGGAAUUCCUAGUGUAGCGGUGAAAUGCGUAGAUAUUAGGAGGAACACCAGUGGCGAAAGCGGCUUUCUGGACGACAACUGACGCUGAGGCGCGAAAGCCAGGGGAGCAAACGGGGUUAGAUACCCCGGUAGUCCUGGCCGUAAACGAUGGAUACUAGGUGUAGGAGGUAUCGACCCCUUCUGUGCCGGAGUUAACGCAAUAAGUAUCCCGCCUGGGGAGUACGGCCGCAAGGCUGCAACUCAAAGGA
rnacentral:rRNA from 2 species